rnacentral:rRNA from 1 species
UGAAUACGAGACGCUAAGGCGUCAAAGUAGUGUAUGUCAUACUUCCAAGAAAAGCUUGCACUGUCAUAGAUAAAAAACGCCUGUACCAUAACCGACACAGGUGGGUAGGUAGAGUAUACUAAGGGGCGCGAGAUAACUCUCUUUAAGGAACUCGGCAAAAUAACUCCGUAACUUCGGGAGAAGGAGUGCCUUAUUCUUAAGGUUGCAAUAACAAGAUCCAAGCAACUGUUUAUCAAAAACACAGGUCUCCGCUAAGUCGUAAGACGAUGUAUGGGGGCUGACGCCUGCCCAGUGCCAGAAGGUUAAAGAAGCUGGUUAGCAUUUGCGAAGCUAGUAACUGAAGCCCUGGUGAACGGCGGCCGUAACAAUAACGGUCCUAAGGUAGCGAAAUUCCUUGUCGGGUAAGUUCCGACCCGCACGAAAGGCGUAAUGAUUUGGAUACUGUCUCGGAGAGGGGCUCGGUGAAAUAGACUUGUCUGUGAAGAUGCGGACUACCUGCACCAGGACAGAAAGACCCUAUGAAGCUUUACUGUAACUUGAAAUUGAAACUGGACUUUAUUCGCGCAGUAUAGGUGGGAGGCGUUGAUUAUAAUCUUGCGGGAUUAUUGGAGCCAUUAGUGAGAUACCACUCUUGUAAUGUUAGAUUUCUAACUUUGAAUCAUUAUCUGGUCAAAGAACAGUUUCAGGCGGGCAGUUUGACUGGGGCGGUCGCCUCCUAAACGGUAACGGAGGCGUACAAAGGUUUCCUCUGAACGGUUAGAAAUCGUAUCUAGAGUGUAAAGGCAUAAGGAAGCUUGACUGUGAGACCUACAAGUCGAGCAGGGACGAAAGUCGGUCUUAGUGAUCUGACGGUACUGAGUGGAAAGGCCGUCACUCAACGGAUAAAAGUUACUCUAGGAUAACAGGCUGAUCUCCCCCAAGAGUUCACAUCGACGGGGAGGUUUGGCACCUCGAUGUCGGCUCAUCGCAUCCUGGGGCGGUAGUACGUCCCAAGGGUUGGGCUGUUCGCCCAUGAAAGCGGUACGCGAGCUGGGUUCAGAACGUCGUGAGACAGUUCGGUCCAUAUCCGGUGUAGGCGUUAGAAUAUUGAGAGGAGCCUUCUUUAGUACGAGAGGACCGAGAAGGACAUACCUCUGGUGUACCAGUUAUCGUGCCAACGGUAAACGCUGGGUAGCUAUGUAUGGAGUGGAUAACCGCUGAAAGCAUCUAAGUGGGAAGCCCACCUCAAGAUAAGUAUUCUCA